rnacentral:lncRNA from 1 species
GAGAAGAGUCAGUGGUCCUGAGGUACAGUACUUAAGAUAACCCUGUGAAGGCUGAGAUUGAUAUUUGAAAUUCACAACUGAUCUUGGAGCCUGGUACAGCAGUCAUGGAUUUGUUCAUGUGUGGAUGUGAUGGAACUGAAGUCGCUAGGUUCAUGCUACCUGGAACAUGAGACUGACAAAUAGAGGAGCACUGAGUCAAAUGAAUCUCGGAGAAAUGGAGCUGGAAGAAAACUGGAAGUUUCAUUCUUGUUGCCCAGGCUGGAGUGCAAUGGUGUGAUCUUGGCUCACCGCAACCUUGACCUCCUAGGUUCAAGUGAUUCUCCUGUCUCAGUCUCCUGAGUAGCUAGUAUUACAGGCAUGCACCACUAUGCCCGGCUAAUUUUGUAUUUUUAGUUGAGAUGGGGUUUCUCCAUGUUGGUCAGGCUGGUCUCGAACUCCCGACCUCAGGUGAUCCACCUGCUUCAGCCUCCCAAAGUGCUGGGAUUACAGGUGUGAGCAGCCGUGCCCUGCUGAAACUUAUUUGUUUGAGCAAUAAAAGCCACAUAUUUCCUCUUUUGAUAAAGUGUAAAAUUAUAGUACUCUUCCAAGAUACUCAUGGAUUGAUAACAAAAAACUAACAACUGGAUAUUGUUUUAAAUAUUGAAGAAAAGCAAACAAAUCAACAUCAGCCAUAACAUUGCUUCAUAUGCCAAAACCAGGAUGAAAUAAUGCUUUUAUAGAAGAUGUGACCUGGGAUCAAAUAGCAUCAUUUACCAAAUGCAAAGGAUUGGUGUAGCUCUUGACUUCAAGGCAUAUUAAAUCUAGCAAAGCUAAGAUUCAAUAUAGAUGUAGGUCCAAUUUCAUGACAAAAAAUCAAAGAAACCAACCAAAAUCAGAGAACUUAGUAAGUUUGUGGGUAUGCAAUCUACAGAAGUGAAUUAUAUAUAUAUGAUAAAAGAGAAGAAAAGACUCUAUUUACAAUUCAACAAAAAAGAUAAAACGCUUAGGAAUAAGUAUGAGAGAUGGGCAUGAUUUAUAUAAAGAACAUUUUAAGAUGCUACCAAAAAACACAAAAUAAAAUGAAUAAAUGGGAAAGCAUAUAAUUUCUUAGAUAGGAAAAGUCAACAUCACAAAAAUUUAAUUCAAUAAAAAUAGCAACAGCAUUUUUAUUUUGUAAUCAGAGACAAGCUAAUACUAAAGUUCAAAUGAAAAAAUAAAAAACAAAAAUAGUCAAGAAAAAUCUGGAAAAGUGAUCAUAAAGAGAACUAGUUCUUUCACACAUUUAAACACAUUUUAAAUCUUCAAUAAUAAAAAUAAUGUGUGAGAUCUGGCAAGCUGGCCAAAUAGGAACAGCUCUGGUCUGCAGCUCCCAGUGAGAACAACACAGAAGGUGAGUGAUUUCUGCAUUUACAACUGGGGUACCUGGCUCAUCUCAUUGGGACUGGUAAUACAGUGGGUGCAGCCCAUGGAGGGCAAGCCAAAGCGGGUCAGGCGGUGGGGGGUGGGGGUGGUCACCUCACCCAGGAAGCACAAGAGGUUGGGGAACUCCCUUCCCAGCCAAGGGAAGCAGUGAGGGAAUGUGCCUUGAGGGACGGUGCAAUCCGGCUCAAAUACUAUGCUUUUCCCACAGUCUUCGCAACCCGCAGACCAGGAGAUUCCCCUGGCUGCCUACACCACCAGGGUCCUGAGUUUCAAGCACAAAACUGGGUGGUUGUUAGGGCAGACACUGAGCUAGCUGCAGGAGGCUGGAAAGCCAAGCAGAGCCAGAAUGGACAGAACCAUUCACUCCCCUGGAAAGGGGGGCUGAAGCCAGGGAGCCAAGUGGUCUUGCUCAGCAGAUCCUACACCCACGGAGCCCAGCAAGCUAAGAUCCACUGACGUGAAAUUCUCGCUGCCAGCACAGCAGUCUGAAAUCCACCUGGGAUGCUCCAGCUUGCUGGGGGGUAGGGGCAUCCGGCAUUACUGGGACUUGAAUAGGCGGUUUUCCCCUCACGGUGUUAAAAAAAAUGCCAGAGGGAAGUUCAAAUGGGACGAAUCCCAUCGCAGUGCAGCAAAGCUGCUGUAGCCAGACCACAUCUCUAGAUUCCUCCUUUCUGGGAAGGGCAUCCCUGAAAGAAAGGCAGCAGCCCCAGUCAGGGGCUUAUAGAUAAAAACUCCCAUUUCCCUGGGAGAGGGCACCUGGGGGAAGGAGUGGCUGUGGGCACAGCUUCAGCAGACUUAAACGUUCCUACCUGCAGGCUCUGAAGAGAGCAGCCGAUCUCCCAGCACAGUGCUUGAGCUCUGCUAAGGUACAGACUGCCUCCUCAACUGGGUCCCUGAACCCCGUGCCUCUUGACUGGGAGAUACCUCCCAGCAGGGGUCGACAGACACCUCAUACAGGAGAGCUCCGGCUAGCAUCUGGCAGGUGUCCCUCUGGGACAAAGCUUCCAGAGGAAGGAACAGGCAGCAAUCUUUGCUGUUCUACAGCUUCUGCUGGUGAUACCCAGGCAAACAGGGUUUGGAGUGGACCCCCAGCAAACUCCAGCAGACUUGCAGAAGAGGGUCCUGACUGUUAGAUGGAAAACUAACAAACAGAAAGCAAUAACAUCAACAUCAACAAAAAGGAUGCCCAUGAAAAAACCCUAUCCAAAGGUCAUCAACAUCAAAGAUCAAAGGUAGAUAAAUCCACGAAGAUGAGGAAAAACCAACGCAAAAAGGCUGAAAAUUCCAUAAACCAGAAUGCUUCUUCUCCUCCAAAGGAUCACAACUCCUUGCCAGCAAGGGAACAAAACUGGAUGGAGAAUGAGUUUGAUGAAUUGACAGAAGUAGGCUUCAGAAGAUGGGUAAUUACAAACUCCUCUGAGCUAAAGGAGCGUGUUCUAAUCCAAUGCAAGGAAGCUAAGAAACUUUAUCAAAGGUUACAGGAACUGCUAAGUAGAAUAGCCAGUUUAGAGAAGAAUGUAAAUGACCUGAUGGAGCUGAAAAACACAGCAUGAGAACUUCAUGAAGCAUACACAAGUAUCAGUAGCUGAAUUGAUCAAACAGAAGAAAGGAUAUCAGAGACUGAAGAUCAACUUAAUGAAAUAAAGCAUGAAGACAAGAUUAGAGAAAAAAGAAAGAAACGGAACGAACAAAGCCUCCAGAAAUAUGGGACAAUGUGAAAAGACCAAACCUACAUUUGAUUGGUGUACCUGAAAGUGAUGGAGAGAAUAGAGCCAGGUUGGAAAACAUACUUCAGGAUAUUAUGCAGGAGAACUUCCCCAGCCUAGCAAGACAGGCCAACAUUCAAAUUCAGGAAACACAGAGAACACCACAAAGAUACUCCUCGAGAAGAGAAACCCCAAGACACAUAAUCAUCAGAUUCACCAAGGUUGAAAUGAAGGAAAAAAUAUUAACAACAGCCAGAGAGAAAGGUAAGGUAAACCACAAAUGGAAGCCCAUCAGACUAACAGCAGAUCUCUCUGCAGAAACCCUACAAGCCAGAAGAGAGUGGGGGCUAGGCCAAAAUAUAACAUUCUUAAAGUAAAUAAUUUUCAGCCCAGAACUUCAUAGCCAGCCAAACUAAGCUUCAUAAGCGAAGGAGAAAUAAAAUCCUUUACAGACAAGCAAAUGCUGAGGGAUUUUUGUCACCACCAGGCCUGCCUUACAAGAGCUCUUGAAGGAAGCACCAAAUAUGGAAAGGAAAAACCGGUACCAGCCACUGCAAAAACAUACCAAAAUGUAAAGACCAUUGACACUAUGAAGAAACUGCAUAAACUAAUGUGCAAAAUAACCGUAACCAGCUAGCAUUAUAGCAGGAUCAAAUUUACACCUAAAAAUAUUAAUAAGUUCUUUGAAACCAAUGAGAACAAAGACACAACGUACCAGAAUCUCUGGGAAACAGCUAAAGCAGUGUUUAGAGGGAGAUUUAUAGCACUAAAUGCCCACAUGAGAAAGUGGGGAAGAUCUAAAAUCAACAUGCUAACAUUGCAAUAAGAAGAAGUAGAGAAGCAAGAGCAAACAAAUUCAAAAGCUAGCAGAAGACAAGAAAUAAUAACUAAGACAAGAUCAGAGCAAAACUGAAGGAGACAGAGACAUGAAAAACCCUUCAAAAAAUCAAUGAAUCCAGGAGCUGAUUUUUUGAAAAGAUUAACAAAAUAGAUAGUUGGCUAGCCAGAGUAAUAAAGAAGAAAAGAGAGAAGAAUCAAAUAGACACAAUAACAAAUGAUAAAGGGGAUAUCACCACUGAUUCCACAGAAAUACAAACUACCAUCAGAGAAUACUAUAAACACCUCUACGCUGAUAAACUGGAAAAUCUAGAAGAAAUGGAUAAAUUCCUGGACACAUACACCCUCCCAAGACUAAACCAGGAAGAAGUUGAAUCCCUGAAUAGACCAGUAACAAGUUCUGAAAUUGAGACAGUAAUUAAUAGACUACCAACAAAAAAGCUCAGGACCAGACAGAUUCACAGUCGAAUUCUACCAGAGGUACAAAGAGAAGCUGGUACCAUUCCUUCUGAAACUAUUCCAAACAAUAGAAAAAGAGGAACUCCUCCCUAACUCAUUUUAUGAGGCCAGCAUCAUCCUGAUACCAAAACCUGGCAGAGACACAACAAAAAAAAGGAAAUUUUAGUCCCAGGUGGGCAGAUCAAGAGGUCAGGAGAUCAAGACCAUCCUGGCUAACACGGUGAAACCCCGUCUCUACUAAAAAUACCAAAAAUUGGCUGGAUGUGGUGGCACACGCCUGUAGUCCCAGCUACUCAGGAGGCUGAGGCAGGAGAAUCACUUGAACCCGGGAGGCAGAGGUUGCAGUGAGCUGAGAUUGCACCACUGCACUCCAGUCUGGGUGACGAAGCAAGACUCCAUCACAAAAAAAAAAAAAAAAAAAAAAGGAAAUUUUAGGCCAAUAUCCCUCAUGAACAUCAAUGUGAAAAUCCUCUCCUCAAUAAAAUACUGGCAAAUUGAAUCCAGCAGCACAUCAAAAAGCUUAUCAACCACGAUCAAGCUAGCUUCAUCCCUGGGAUGCAAGACUGGUUCAACAUAUGCAAAUCAAUAAAUGUAAUCCAUCGCAUAAACAGAACCAAUGAAAAAACCCACAUGAUUAUCUCAAUAGAUGCCGAAAAGGCCUUCGAUAAAAUUCAACUCCCCUUUGUGCUAAAAACACUCAAUAAACUAGUUAUUAAUGGAAUGUAUCUCAAAAUAAUAAGAGCUAUUUAUGACAAACCCACAGCCAAUAUCAUACUGAAUGCGCAAAAGCUGGAAGCAUUUCCUUUGCAAACCGGCACAGGACAAGGAUGCCCUCUCUCACCUCUCCUAUUCAACAUAGUAUUGGAAGUUCUGGCCAGGGCAAUCAGCCAAGAGAAAGAAAUAAAGAGCGUUCAAAUAGGAAGAGAGGAAGUCAAAUUGUCUCUGUUUGCAGAUGACAUGAUUGUAUAUUUAGAAAAUAUUGUCUCAGCCCAAAAACUCCUUAAGCUGAUAAGCAACGUCAGCAAAGUCUCAGGAUACAAAAUGAAUGUGCAAAAAUCACAAGCAUUCCUAUACACCAAUUCCUAUACAACAGACAAACAGAGAGCUAAAUCAUGAGUGAACUCCCAUUCACAAUUGCUACAAAGAGAAUAAAAUACCUAGGAAUCCAACUUAGAAGGGAUGUGAAGGACCUCUUCAAGGAGAACUACAAACUACUGCUCAAGGAAAUAAGAGAGGACACAAACAAAUGGAAAAACAUUCCAUGCUCACGGAUAGGAAGAAUCAAUUUCGUGAAAACGGCCAUACGGCCCAAAGUAAUUUAUAGAUUAAAUGCUAUUCCCACCAAGCUACCAUUGACUUUCUUCACAGAAUUAGAAAAAACAACUUUAAAUUUUAUAUGGAACCAAAAAAAACAGCCUGUAUAGCCAAGACAAUCCUAAGCAAAAACAACAAAGUUGGAGACAUCAUGCUACCUGACUUCAAACUAUACUACAAGGCUACGGUAACCAAAACAGCAUAGUACUGGUACUAAAACAGACAUAUCGACCAAUGAAACAGAACAGAGUCCUCAGAAAUAACACCACACAUCUACAACCAUCUGAUCUUUGACAAACCUGACAAAAACAAGAAAUGGGGAAAGGAUUCCCUAUUUAAUAAAUGGUGUUGGGAAAACUGGCUAGCCAUAUGCAGAAAACUGAAACUGGACCCCUUGUUUACACCUUAUACAAAAAUUAACUCAAGAUGGAUUGAAGACUUAAAC